GGGGAAAUAGCUCAGUAGUAGUGCGUAUGCUUGGCGUGCACAAGGUCCUGGGUUCAAUCCCCAGUGCUUCCG
rnacentral:tRNA from 1 species